rnacentral:rRNA from 1 species
UACGUAGGGUGCGAGCGUUAAUCGGAAUUACUGGGCGUAAAGCGUGCGCAGGCGGUUUUGUAAGUCUGUCGUGAAAUCCCCGGGCUCAACCUGGGAAUUGCGAUGGAGACUGCAAGGCUAGAAUCUGGCAGAGGGGGGUAGAAUUCCACGUGUAGCAGUGAAAUGCGUAGAGAUGUGGAGGAACACCGAUGGCGAAGGCAGCCCCCUGGGUCAAGAUUGACGCUCAUGCACGAAAGCGUGGGGAGCAAACAGG